GUAAAUGGCUGAUAUGAAAUGGGGAAGCGCAAGCUAAAAAGAAAACCUAUAAAAAAAAGAGUUGAAAAAUUGCCUGUUUCUUUUAAGUGUCCCUUCUGUAAUCAUGAUAAAAGUGUCGAAGUAUCCUUUGAAAAAGAGCGUAAUUUGGGCUCCAUCUCAUGCUCUGUUUGUAAUGAAACUUUUCAAACCGCCGUAACACAGUUGAGUCAACCUAUCGAUGUGUAUUGCAAAUGGAUUGACGCUUGCGAAGAAGCAAAUGAGUGAGCGUUGAAG